GGGCCGGUAGUCUAGCUUGGAUAAGACUCGGGCCUCCGGAGCCCGCGACUCGGGUUCGAAUCCCGGCCGGCCCG
rnacentral:tRNA from 2 species